GACGAACGCUGGCGGCGUGCCUAAUACAUGCAAGUAGAACGCACAGUUUAUACCGUAGCUUGCUACACCAUAGACUGUGAGUUGCGAACGGGUGAGUAACGCGUAGGUAACCUGCCUGGUAGCGGGGGAUAACUAUUGGAAACGAUAGCUAAUACCGCAUAAUAUUAAUUAUUGCAUGAUAAUUAAUUGAAAGGUGCAAUUGCACCACUACCAGAUGGACCUGCGUUGUAUUAGCUAGUAGGUGAGGUAACGGCUCACCUAGGCGACGAUACAUAGCCGACCUGAGAGGGUGAUCGGCCACACUUGGACUGAGACACGGCCCAGACUCCUACGGGAGGCAGCAGUAGGGAAUCUUCGGCAAUGGACGAAAGUCUGACCGAGCAACGCCGCGUGAGGGAAGAAGGUUUUCGGAUCGUAAAGCUCUGUUGUAAGAGAAGAACGGGUGUGAGAGUGGAAAGUUCACACUGUGACGGUAUCUUACCAGAAAGGGACGGCUAACUACGUG
rnacentral:rRNA from 1 species